GGAGGAUAAGCGAAUGGCUAGCAGGCUGAUUCGAAAUCAGUUGCCCUCACGGGUUGCGGGUUCGACCCCCGUGUCCUCCG
rnacentral:tRNA from 2 species